rnacentral:tRNA from 1 species
GACUCCGUAGCUCAGCUGGUAGAGCAACAGACUCUUAAUCAGUGGGUCGAGAGUUCGAGCCUCUCCGGGGUCA